UGUUUUUACGUUAUGGAAUUUGUUCGCACAUAUAAACACGGAGCAAAACGACCAUCUGGAAGACGGAGAAAACAUGGGUAAAGAAGCCCACGGAGUGAUUUAAUGAAACUACGAGGAGAAAACGCCACGUUUUCACGCACAGUGACUGGGUUAAACUUGUAAACACUUGGCCAGUCUUCCUGUAUGAGGACACAACACACUGCUGGGGCCACAGAAAUGUUGGCGGAUGACGCUCAUGAUUCAUGAAAUGGGACAAAUGCAGAUGACAAAGUAAAGCCAACACUGAGCUGGAGGUGCUGACCCAGAUUCCUGCCUCUGUUUAGGUUUUCACUCUGCAGGACAGAACUUUCAACCAGUAAGACAUAAGGCCCAUUCUGCUCUUCCUCCUCCAGAAGACGAGAGAUACAUCAGACUGAGUGGCCCAAGUCCACUGGGUCAUGUCUCCAUUGUCCAU